CAGCCCCCGCGGUAAUACGGGGGGUGCAAGCGUUAAUCGGAAUCACUGGGCGUAAAGGGUGCGUAGGCGGUGCAUUAGGUCUGUCGUGAAAUCCCCGGGCUCAACCUGGGAAUGGCGGUGGAAACCGGUGUACUAGAGUAUGGGAGAGGGUGGUGGAAUUCCAGGUGUAGCGGUGAAAUGCGUAGAGAUCUGGAGGAACAUCAGUGGCGAAGGCGGCCACCUGGCCCAAUACUGACGCUGAGGCACGAAAGCGUGGGGAGCAAACAGGAUUAGAUACCCUGGUAGUCCACGCCCUAAACGAUGAAUACUAGAUGUUUGGUGCCAAGCGUACUGAGUGUCGUAGCUAACGCGAUAAGUAGGCCGCCUCUGA
rnacentral:rRNA from 1 species